CCUACGGGUGGCAGCAGUAGGGAAUUUUUCACAAUGGGCGAAAGCCUGAUGGAGCAAUGCCGCGUGAAUGAUGAAGGUCUUAUAGAUUGUAAAAUUCUUUUAUUUGGGAAGAAAAACUAAAGUAGGAAAUGACUUUAGUCUGACUGUACCAUUUGAAUAAGUAUCGGCUAACUAUGUGCCAGCAGCCGCGGUAAUACAUAGGAUGCAAGCGUUAUCCGGAUUUACUGGGCGUAAAACGAGCGCAGGCGGGUUAACAAGUUUGGUAUGAAAGGCUUUUGCUUAACGAAAGUUUGUAUCAAAAACUGUUAAUCUAGAGUGUAGUAGAGAGUUCUGGAAUUCCUAGUGUAGCGGUGAAAUGCGUAGAUAUUAGGAGGAACACCAGUGGCGAAGGCGACUUUCUGGACUGUACCUGACGCUGAGGCGCGAAAGCGUGGGUAGCGAACGGGAUUAGAUACCCUUGUAGUC
rnacentral:rRNA from 1 species